rnacentral:rRNA from 1 species
ACAGAGGGGGCAAGCGUUGUUCGGAAUUACUGGGCGUAAAGGGCGCGUAGGCGGCCUUCUAAGUCGAACGUGAAAUCCCCGGGCUCAACCCGGGAACUGCGUCCGAUACUGGAAGGCUUGAAUCCGGGAGAGGGAUGCGGAAUUCCAGGUGUAGCGGUGAAAUGCGUAGAUAUCUGGAGGAACACCGGUGGCGAAGGCGGCUACCUGGCCCAAUACUGACACUCAGGUGCGACAGCGUGGGGAGCAAACAGGA